rnacentral:rRNA from 1 species
AAUAUUAGUAAUGGGCGAAAGCCUGAACUAGCAACGCCGCGUGUGCGAAGAAGGCCUUCGGGUUGUAAAGCACUUUUUGAGAGGAUGAGGAAGGUCGGUACUCUCAGAAUAAGUCUCGGCUAACUACGUGCCAGCAGCCGCGGUAACACGUAGGAGGCGAACGUUAUCCGGAUUUACUGGGCGUAAAGCGCGUGUAGGUGAUUUGGUAAGUAGGGAGUAAAAGCUCCUGGCUCAACUGGGAGAGGCCGUACUAAACUGCCGAACUAGAGGAUG